rnacentral:rRNA from 1 species
AUUGAACGCUGGCGGCAGGCUUUACACAUGCAAGUCGAACGAGCGGCGGACGGGUGAGUAACGCAUGGGAACGUGCCCAGUAGAGGGGGAUAACUACUCGAAACGGUGGCUAAUACCGCAUACUAUUGGAUGGGCCCAUGUGGGAUUAGCUGGUUGCUGGGGUAAAGGCUCACCAAGGCGACGAUCAGUAGCGGGUCUGAGAGGAUGAUCCGACACACUGGGACUGAGACACGGCCCAGACUCCUACGGGAGGCAGCAGUGGGGAAUUUUGGACAAUGGGCGCAAGCCUGAUCCAGCCAUGCCGCGUGUAUGAAGAAGGCCUUCGGGUUGUAAAGUACUUUUGUCAGGGAAGCGGUACCUGAAGAAUAAGCACCGGCUAACUACGUGCCAGCAGCCGCGGUAAUUC